rnacentral:rRNA from 1 species
GACAGAGGUGCCAAGCGUUAGGCGGAAUCACUGGGCUUAAAGCGUGUGUAGGCGGAUUUGUAAGUACCUUGUGAAAUCCCACGGCCCAACCGUGGAACUGCUCGGUAUACUGCUUAUCUUGAGCCACUUAGGGGCUACCGGAACAAAUGGUGGAGCGGUGAAAUGCGUAGAUAUCAUUUGGAACGCCAAUGGUGAAAACAGGUAGCUGGGAGUGUGCUGACGCUGAGACACGAAAGCCAGGGGAGCGAACGGG